rnacentral:tRNA from 1 species
GCCAGUUUGGCUCAGUGGAUAGAGUGUCAGCCUGCAGACUGAAGGGUCCCAGGUUUGAUUCCGGUAAAGGGCA